AUGAGUGUGCGGGGCGACCCGGCGGCCGCUGCUCCCGGGGUUGAGACGGCGGAGGAGCUGCUGGCGCGCGUCAGGGGGAUGGUGCCGCCGGCGGUCGGCGCGGCGACGGCCGCGGAGGGGUUCCCCGGCCGGUGGAAGGCGAUCGCGGCCAAGCUGGGCACGCUCCCCGCGCGCCUGUCCGACCUGUCCAGCCACCCCUGCUUCGCCCGGAACGCGCUCUGCCGCGAGCUGCUGCACUCCGUGGCCGCCACGCUCGCCGAUGCGGCGGAGCUUGCUUCGCGGUGCCGGGGCCCGCCGAGGGACGGGAAGCUGCAGACGCAGAGCGCCAUCGACGCGCUCGGCGCCCGGCUCGACGUCAACCUCCGGGACUGCGCGCUGCUCGUCCGCACCGGCGUGCUGUCCGACUCCGACGCCUCCGCCGUCACCGCCCCGGCGACGGCGCAGGCGGACGUGCGGGAGCUGCUCGCGCGGCUGCAGAUCGGGCACGCCGAGGCCAAGAGCCGCGCGGUGGACGGGCUGCUCGACGCGCUCAACCGGGACGAGAAGAGCGUGGUGUCGCUGCUCGGCCGCGCCAACGUGUCCGCGCUGGUGCAGCUGCUCACGGCGCCGGCGCCCAAGGCGCGGGAGAAGGCCGCCAUGGUGAUAUGCCGGCUCGCCGAGUCGGGGGGUGGCGCCUGCGAGGGGCUGCUCGUGUCGGAGGGCGCGCUGCCGCCGCUCAUCCGGCUGGCAGAGUCCGGCAGCAGCCUCGUCGGCCGCGAGAAGGCCGUCCUCACGCUGCAGCGCCUCUCCGCGUCCCCCGACGUCGCGCGCGCCAUCGCCGGCCACGGCGGCGUGCGCCCGCUCAUCGAGAUCUGCCAGACGGGGGACUCCGUGUCCCAGUCCGCGGCGGCCGGCGCGCUCAAGAACCUCUCCGCGGCGCCCGAGGCGCGGCAAGCGCUGGCCGACGAAGGGAUCGUCCGCGUCAUGGUCAGUCUGCUGGACUACGGCACCGUGCUGGGCUCCAAGGAGCACGCCGCCGACUGCUUGCAGAACCUCACGUCGGGCGGCGACAGCUUCCGGCGCGCCGUCGCGCACGACGGCGGGCUGCGCAGCCUGCUCCUCUACCUGGACGCGCCGUCGCCGCAGGAGUCCGCGGUGCGCGCGCUCGGGAACAUGGUGGACGCCAUCUCCCCCGACACCAUCGUGUCCCUCGGCGUGCUCCCGCGGCUGGCGCACGCGCUCAGGGCCGGGUCAACCGGCGCGCAGCAGGCGGCGGCCGCGGCGAUCUGCAGGAUCGCGGCCAGCGGCAGCAAGGACAUGAAGCGGAUGGUGGGCGAGCACGGGUGCAUCCCACUACUUGUCCGGAUGCUGGAGGCUAAGUCGGCCGGCGCGCGCGAGGUGGCGGCGCAGGCGGUGGCGAGCCUGGCGGCGGGGCACCCGGGCAACGCGCGGGAGGUGCGGCGGGACGAGAGGAGCGUGCCGAGCCUGGUGCAGCUGCUGGACCCCAGCCCGGCGAACACGGCGAAGAAGUACGCCAUCGCGUGCCUGGCGACGCUGUCGCCGGCGAAGCGGUGCAAGAAGCCGAUGGUCUCGCACGGCGCCAUCGGGUACCUGAAGAAGCUGUCGGACAUGGAGGUCGCCGGCGCCCGGGACCUGCUGGAGCGGCUGGAGGAGCGCGGCAAGCUCCGAAGCAUCUUCGGCAGCAAGAACUACUCGUAA
rnacentral:rRNA from 1 species